rnacentral:tRNA from 1 species
UGGGGUAUCGCCAAGCGGUAAGGCAACGGCUUUUGGUGCCGUCAUUCGAAGGUUCGAAUCCUUCUACCCCAUCCA